AUUGAACGCUGGCGGCAGGCCUAACACAUGCAAGUCGAGCGGAGCGGCGGGCGGGUGAGUAAUGCCUAUGAAUCUGCCUGGUAGUUGGGGAUAACGUCCGGAUACGGACGCUAAUUCAGCAUACUAUCAGCUGAGCCUAGGUGGGAUUAGCUAGUUGGUGGGUUAAAGGCCUACCAAGGCGACGAUCCGUAGCUGGUCUGAGAGGAUGAUCAGUCACACUGGAACUGAGACACGGUCCAGACUCCUACGGGAGGCAGCAGUGGGGAAUAUUGGACAAUGGGCGAAAGCCUGAUGCAGCCAUGCCGCGUGUAUGAAGAAGGCCUUCGGGUUGUAAAGUACUUUCAGCGGGGAGGCGUUACCCACAGAAGAAGCACCGGCUAACUCCGUGCCAGCAGCCGCGGUAAUUC
rnacentral:rRNA from 1 species